GCUAAAAAUUUAGCCCCCCACACCCGCAUGUAUUUUUACACUACUCCCCUUAAACCAAAACAUUUUCAAUAUUUAGUAAAGGCGAUUAAAAAAAUUUCUGGAGCAAUAACUAUAGUACCGUAAGGGAAAAAUGAAAUAUAAAUGAAAUAAUUUUAAGCAAAAAAAAGUAGAGCUUAAUCCUCGUACCUUUUGCAUCAUGAUUUAACUAGUUUAUUUAAGCAAAAAGACUUUUAGUUUUUAUCCCCGAAUCUAGACGAGCUAUCUUAGGGCAGCUUUAUGAGCAAACCCGUCUCUGUCGCAAAAGAGUGGGAAGACCCUAUUAUAGCGGUGACAGACCAAACGAGUCUAGUGAUAGCUGGUUGCUCUUGAAUAGGAUCUUAGUCCUGCUUAAAGCUUCAAUUAUACCCAUAAAUUUUUAACUUUAAAGUCAUUCAAACAAGGUACAGCCUGUUUGAAAAAGGAGACAACCUCAAUAACUGGGUUAUACCAACAAAUUCAUAACAAAGUAGGCUUAAAAGCAGCCACCUUUAACAAAAGCGUCAAAGCUUAUUUAUAUGUUUAUUAAAUUCCUUAAUUUUUUCCUCUAACCCUUCCCCCACCAAAGAGCAAUUCUAUACUUCUAUAGAAAAUUUUAUGUUAAAACUAGUAAUAAGAAGCAGAUCCUUCUCUUUAAUGUAAACCUAUAUCAGCAAGGACACCCCCACUGACUUUUAACGCUACUAAAAUUAUAGUAGAAACUAAUCAAGAAAAUUCUACUUCUUCUAACGUUAACCUUACACAAGAACAUUUAAAGAAAGAUUAAAAAGAAAAGAAGGAACUCGGCAAACAUUAGCCCCGCCUGUUUACCAAAAACAUCGCCUCUUGUUUAUUAAUAAGAGGUCCAGCCUGCCCAGUGACUCUGUUCAACGGCCGCGGUAUCCUAACCGUGCGAAGGUAGCGUAAUCACUUGUUCUUUAAAUGAGGACUAGUAUGAAUGGCCCCACGAAGGCUACACUGUCUCCUUUUCUUAAUCAAUGAAACUAAUCUUCCCGUGAAGAAGCGGGAAUGUACAUAUAAGACGAGAAGACCCUAUGGAGCUUUAAACUACCGAAACACUUGCUUUAUUCUUCUUACGCUCCUGAGCCCCCUUCUAAUUAUUCAAGCAUUUUUAACUUCAAGUUUUAGGUUGGGGUGACCACGGAGCAAAAUUUAACCUCCAUGAUGUAAGAGGCUUUACUCUUAGCCAAAAGCCACUUUUUUAAGCAUCAAUAAAUUGACUCUCAUUGACCCAAUUAUUUGAUCAACGAACCAAGUUACCCUAGGGAUAACAGCGCAAUCUACUUCAAGAGCUCAUAUCGACAAGUAGGCUUACGACCUCGAUGUUGGAUCAGGGUAUCCUAGUGGUGCAGCCGCUACGAACGGUUCGUUGUCAACGAUAAA
rnacentral:rRNA from 1 species